GGAAGCGCCGCCUCCACCAACAGGAAGGGGAAGCUGCUUUGCUCCGGGGAGCGGCCCGGCUGGAAGCAAGGGAACGGCAGGCGCACUGUUCUCAGGCAGCGGUGGGAGGAGAUGGCCCAUAUCUUCAGCUCCUGUGGAAAGGUUGUACAGCUGAAGGUAUACUCUAUAGGACUCACUGCGUCCCUGGAGUAGCUGAACACCUGGCCCCGGGGCUGGUAGAGGACCACGUCCAGGACGGUGGAGCUGUGGCCGCGCAGGACAGCCACCGGACGGGCGGUCACCACCUCGUUCCACAGCCGGACAGCCGUGUCAAAGCCCCCCGUCACCAGCAGCCGCAGCCCCCUGCUGUAGUGGAAACAUCUCACCCCCUAGAGGGUAUGAAGAGGAACGCGUGGCGAUGGAUACGUGUCAACAACAACAACUUGGGAGUUUCACACAACGCAUUCAUUAAGGAAUGGAAAAGUACGCAUGGUGGAUAAUGUGUUUUUUAUAGGGUUGUUUGUACUUGGAGAGGAAGAACGAUUCCUGUUCUUUAACGACAUAUGAAGUGAGUUAGCGCCAUUUGUUUGGGCGGGAAAACCGUUGCGGAGAGCGCCUCCUUAGUCUUACUUGUUUGUUUAUUGGGACGUAAAACCGAAAUGCGCUUUCAUAAAAUUCACCCUGUUGG